CGUUGUUAUUGGUGCAACCCCUGCAGUGAAAAAAAUAUGUGAGAACAAAACAAGCCCGGCAAAAAUGCACUACGAUAAUAUUCUGUUGUUUUCUCAUCAAUGGUUGUGCUGCGGCAUUAUUUACACUUAAUCAUAAGGCAACUCUAGGGCGGACCCCCGUACAGAUUUGCAGUGUGAUGUUUGCAGACAGGGACAGGAGAAAUGUCCACAUCACAACCGCAAUGCGUUGGGUGACAAGCCGUGGAAAGAGCUAAUUGAUCGAUCGCGGUGGAUAAAUUUGUCACUCACAUUUUGGAAUUGGAACUCACAGACAGCUCCUGAUGCGUAGUAUUCUCAACAUUAAAAACAAUCUGAGGGAUGCUCCGUGUCGGUUGUUGAUCAUAAUCGUAAGAGCUUCAUAAACAGCGAAUUGGAGGAGCCUGGUGUAUGAUUUUUUUUAGAUAGAAAAGUGCUCAUGAAGUUUCAUCUUAUAGCUUUCUGUGGAAUCAACCGUGCUUUCGUGCGUCUCCGCUGGACUCACGACAAAUUGUACCGCAUCGAUGUACGUAAGCUGCAACAAAGUCUUUGUGGAUGUUUGUCCCCUCAAAUAUGUGGGCAAUUGGACGGGCGAUGUGAACUGUGUGGUCACUAAUUCCGUUUACUGUGUAAGAUGUCGUAUUUUACCGGAAUCAGCAUAGUAAUCGAUGGAGCAACGAUAACGGCUGGCACAGCAUGGAACGCAACAAUUUCUUCCAAUAUUCGAAGUUUUCUCCCUAUGCUUUUUACUAUUCAUGUCGAAGUCACGUUAUCCUGUAACGCAGUACGACAAACGAAACAAGUCGUCGGAUUCAUUAUCACCAGAGAAAGCCGCCUUCGAAACAACCCGAUGCGUUUACCUCACCAAAACAAACAGUAAAAACUAGACUGGAAAUCUGAUUACGCAAAGCUAGCUGCUAAUUGCAUUCAUAAAUUAAAAUUCUGCUCCACAUGUAUAUCGGCCAAACAAUAACCCGAUCGAUCACCUAGUAAUUUCAUAGAAAUUUAAACUUCAGCGCUUCGUUGUAUGAACUUGUUAUUACCUAAACAUUUUUCGGAUGAA